CGACAUAGCAUCUUGAGGGAACGACAUAGUAUCUUGAGGGAACAACAUAACAUCUUUAGGGAACGACAUAGUAUCUUGAGGGAACGAGAUAACUAUCUUGAGGGAACGAGAUAACUAUCUUGGGGGAACGAGAUAACUAUCUUGAGGGAACGACAUAGUAUCUUGAGGGAACGAGAUAACUAUCUUGUGGGAACGACAUAGCAUCUUGAGGGAACGACAUAGUAUCUUGAGGGAACAACAUAAAUUUUUUUUCUUUCAUGGCCGCAUUCUG
rnacentral:lncRNA from 1 species